CAGCCGCCACGGUAAUACGUAGGGUGCAAGCGUUGUCCGGAAUUAUUGGGCGUAAAGAGCUCGUAGGCGGUUUGUCGCGUCUGCUGUGAAAACUGGAGGCUCAACCUCCAGCCUGCAGUGGGUACGGGCAGACUAGAGUGCGGUAGGGGAGAUUGGAACUCCUGGUGUAGCGGUGGAAUGCGCAGAUAUCAGGAAGAACACCGAUGGCGAAGGCAGAUCUCUGGGCCGUAACUGACGCUGAGGAGCGAAAGCAUGGGGAGCGAACAGGAUUAGAUACCCCUGUAGUCCCUGUCUCUUAUAC
rnacentral:rRNA from 1 species